GACGAACGCUGGCGGCGUGCUUAACACAUGCAAGUCGAACGGAAAGGCCUCUUUCGGGGGGUACUCGAGUGGCGAACGGGUGAGUAACACGUGAGUAACCUGCCCUUGACUUUGGGAUAACUUCAUGAAACUGGGGCUAAUACCGGAUAGGAGCUCCUUCUGCAUGGUGGGGGUUGGAAAGUUUCGGCGGUUGGGGGUGGGCUCGCGGCUUAUCAGCUUGUUGGUGGGGUAGUGGCUUACCAAGGCUUUGACGGGUAGCCGGCCGGAGAGGGUGAGCGGCGACAUUGGGACUGAGAGAAGGCACAGACUGCGACGGGAGGCAGAAGUGGGGAAGAUUGAACAAGGGGUGGAAGCCGGAUGCAGCAACGCCGUGGGCGGGAUGACGGUGUUCGGGUUGUAAAACGCUUUCGCUAAUGACGAAGCUUUGUGUGACGGUAGUGGGUAAAGAAGCACCGGCUAACUACGUG
rnacentral:rRNA from 1 species